rnacentral:rRNA from 1 species
AAUUGGAGGGCAAGUCUGGUGCCAGCAGCCGCGGUAAUUCCAGCUCCAAUAGCGUAUAUUAAAGUUGUUGCAGUUAAAAAGCUCGUAGUUGAAUUUCGGGACCAAUUUGUUGGUCGUGCCUCGGUACGUACUGGUAUUAUUGGUUUCUCCCUUCUGAAGAACCUCGAUGUCAUUAAUUUGGUGUUGCGGGGAGACUGGACUGUUACUUUGAAAAAAUUAGAGUGUUUAAAGCAGGCUAACGCUUGAAUACAUUAGCAUGGAAUAAUGAAAUAGGACGUUCGAUUCUAUUUUGUUGGUUUCUAGGAUCGACGUAAUGAUUAAUAGGGAUAGUUGGGGGCAUUAGUAUUCAAUUGUCAGAGGUGAAAUUCUUGGAUUUAUUGAAGACUAACUACUGCGAAAGCAUUUGCCAAGGAUGUUUUCAUUAAUCAAGAACGAAAGUUAGGGGAUCGAAGACGAUCAGAUGCCGUCGUAGUCUUAACCAUAAACUAUGCCGACCUAGGGAUCGGAUGAUGUUAAUUUUUUAAUGACUCAUUCGGCGCCUUACGGGAAACCAAAGUGU